AAUCCCUACGGGACGCAGCAGUGGGGAAUAUUGCACAAUGGGGGAAACCCUGCUGCCGCUCCGCCGCGUUUUUGAAGAAGUACUUCGGUACGUAAAGCCCUAUCAGCAGGGAAGAAAAUGACGGUACCUGAUUAAGAAGCCCCGGCUGACUACGUGCCAGCAGCCGCGGUAAUACGUAGGGGGCAAGCGUUAUCCGGAUUUACUGGGUGUAAAGGGAGCGUAGACGGCAUUGCAAGUCCGGAGUGAAAGCCCACGGCCCAACCGUGGGACUGCUCUGGAAACUGUAGAGCUGGAGUGCGGGGGGG
rnacentral:rRNA from 1 species